AGGUUUACAACCGCCUCCGGUUGCACGCCCGGCAAUGUCAGAUACUUCUUCAACGUUUCGAUGCUCGCCUCGUGAUCCGGAUAUAUUACCAGAGCGUUAGAGGUUCGCGCUUCGGAACGUCUGGCCGAACGAACAAACGUUUACGGAAAGUGGAAAAAGAAACGAAUAAAAGAGCGAUAUCUAUAGAUCGACCUAAAGGCUAAAACGCGCUCUGACCAGAACGCUAAACUCGUUAUUUACUAAAGUGGGAUUAGCGAAGCCACGAUUGCGUAAGAUCCCGUAUUAGAAUUCGUCGGACACGCGUGGAUGUAGAAAAAAACGUUAAUCGACGGAUUAAAGGGGAAGAAGUCUGUUAUCGAAAGAAAAUUAGAUAUUUUCAAUGUUCGAAUACGCUUCGUUAGCAAGAAAGACAUCGAAUUGAUUAUUAUAGCUUUCCGGCGGAAAUUUGAAAUUCGAAAAGUACCCUUGCAAGACAGCGUUGAAGUCGUCGAUGCAACGCGACCAGUCUUCCUCGAGAUUCCAAUGCUCCUCGUUCGAGAUCAGGUUGCCGAGAGUAUCGUUGUUGGCGGUGAUCGCGUCGCAAACGAACAAGAGAACGACGAGUCUGA